GCAAACUUGGUCAUUUAGAGGAAGUAAAAGUCGUAACAAGGUAACCGUAGGUGAACCUGCGGUUGGAUCAUUAACAGUGAUGAGUUUUUGGUAUGUUGGCAGCGAAAGCGCGCAUACCAUUCUCUCUCUCUCUCUCUUUGGCGACCGUUGACUGAAUAAUUUUGCUAUGUUGGCAUAGCAAUUUUUUGCGGGUGGCAUAUGCUAUCCGUGACAGCAACACCGAAUUUGCUUUUUUUCUUUUUUUUAAGAAAAAAAGCAACAUACCCCCAACCUUAUACUUUGUUUCGGAUUUCCUUAGGGGAAUCCCUUUUGUGAGUCUCCAAUGCGAUUCUUUAAUCGGAAUGCGUAUAUUUUAAAAAAAUGUUAUAUACAACUUUUGACAAUGGAUCUCUUGGCUCUCGCAUCGAUGAAGAACGCAGC
rnacentral:misc_RNA from 1 species